AUGCUCUCAAACACAUUUCAGGUCGCAUGGGAAGCCUUGAGCCAGGAGGCCAUGGUGUCUUGGAGACGACUGACCUGGCACGAUGAGCUUGAGCCUGGGCUGACGCCACCUCUGCCAUCCGCCCUGGAUGCUCGGAGAAGAAUUCACGAUCAACCUUGGUCACUUAUGCUAGAGCAAAUGCCUCCUCACUCACCCGGGGUGGAUCCUGGGUCAGCACCAGAGCAGAAGGCAGAAAUACCGCCUGCACCCCUGGAGAAUCAGCGAACGACGCACCCCGAGAACUGGAUAUGGGAGAGGUGGAGGAUCCCUAACCAUACUUGA
rnacentral:rRNA from 1 species